CCUACGGGUGGCAGCAGUGAGGAAUAUUGGUCAAUGGGCGGAAGCCUGAACCAGCCAAGUAGCGUGCGGGAUGAAGGCCCUACGGGUCGUAAACCGCUUUUGCACGGGGAUAACACCCUCCACUUGUGGAGGUCUGCAGGUACCGUGCGAAUAAGGGCCGGCUAAUUCCGUGCCAGCAGCCGCGGUAAUACGGAAGGCCCGAGCGUUAUCCGGAUUCAUUGGGUUUAAAGGGUGCGCAGGCGGAAGCGGCAAGUCAGCGGUAAAAUUGCGGGGCUCAACCUCGCCGAGCCGUUGAAACUGCUCUUCUAGAGUGGGCGAGAAGUAUGCGGAAUGCGUGGUGUAGCGGUGAAAUGCAUAGAUAUCACGCAGAACUCCGAUUGCGAAGGCAGCAUACCGGCGCCCAACUGACGCUCAUGCACGAAAGCGUGGGUAUCGAACAGGAUUAGAUACCCGUGUAGUC
rnacentral:rRNA from 1 species